GAGUGGAAGUUGGCCCAGUGAUAUCAGAAGAGGUACAGCCCCAAACAAAGUGGCAUCCAGGGAGUGGAAGUUGGCCCAGUAAUAUCAGAAGAGGUACAGUCCCAAACAAAGUGGCAUCCAGGGAGUGGAAGUUGGCCCAGUGAUAUCAGAAGAGGUACAGCCCCAAACAAAGUGGCAUCCGGAGUGUAGAAGAUGGCCCAGUGAUAUCAGAAGAGGUCCAGCCCCAAAACAAAGUGGCAUCCAGAGUGUAGAAGAUGGCCCAUUGAUAUCAGAAGAGGUACAGCCCCAAACAAAGUGGCAUCCAGAGUGUAGAAGUUGGCCCAGUGAUAUCAGAAGAGGUACAGCCCCUUACAAAGUGGCAUCAAGGAAGUAAAGUUGCCCCAGUGGUAUCAGAAGAGGUCCAGCCCCAAACAAAGUGGCAUCAAGGAAGUAGAAGUUGGCCCAGUGAUAUCAGAAGAGGUACAGCCCCUAACAAAGUGGCAUCAAGGAAGUAGAAGUUGCCCCAGUGAUAUCAGAAGAGGAACAGCCCCAAACAAAGUGGCAUCAAGGAAGUAGAAGUUGACCCAGUGGUAUCAGAAGAGGUCCAGCCCCAAACAAAGUGGCAUCAAGGAAGUAGAAGUUGCCCCAGUGGUAUCAGAAGAGGUCCAGCCCCAAACAAAGUGGCAUCAAGGAAGUAGAAGUUGCCCCAGUGAUAUCAGAAGAGGUACAGCCCCUAACAAAGUGGCAUCAAGGAAGUAGAAGUUGCCCCAGUGAUAUCAGAAGAGGUACAUCCCCAAACAAAGUGGCAUCCAGGGAGUAGAAGUUGGCCCAGUGGUAUCAGAAGAGGUCCAGCCCCAAACAAAGUGGCAUCCAGGGAGUAGAAGUUGGCCCAACCCCUGCAGUAGACAAAGUGGAACAACAAGACAUUGAAGAUGAGGAGAAUCUUGCACAGAGUUAAACACUUCAACAGACACCUGAGCAUUGGCAUUCAUAUGAUCUACCUGUGAAGUUCAACCAGGCUUUAUAAAGCAUUACACACAAGGCAGCUAUGAUACACUGUGUUGUAAUUGGCCAAAAAUGCAGAUUGGUAACACCAGUCACCUAAGCCACCAUUGCCCUUGCAGACAAGAGUGUGAAGUAACAGCCCCUACAGUUUACAGCAAAGCCCUCGACUGUAGCCCUACAAACUUCAGAUACUGCCGAUGGCGUAGAUGCACUGAACUUUGCCAGUUUUUCAGCUAUGUUGAAUUGACAUCUCCAACUGAUUUUAAGAGCCAGGAUUGAUAUCAGACUGCUUGACAGCACGGACCUCUUUCUUGGGUGGAUGGAUUCAGAGAUGACCUACAGAUGCAGCCAUGACUGUGGCACAUGAAUGUUAUAGAUGAUGACUGUAAAGAAAUGAUGAUAGCAGAAAAAUGAAACUAUCUUAAUAUGGUUUUCUGGAAUUAAAUUAGCAGACAAAGUAUUCAUAUUUCUGUGGAAAAAUAAUGUCAUAGCUGAAAUAUGUUUUGCAAAUUCAAAAUGGUAAUGUUUUUCUCAUAUUUUAUGCUGGCAUCACAAAUAUUAUCAUUGGCUCUGUAUACGGUAAUCUCUCACUUCAAAACAUAACUAAUUGGACUAUUUGAAGAUUAAAUCUUCAUUAUUUUUAUUUAAUAUAAAAUGCUAUGCUGGUUUUACUGUCUUAAAUAAUGUUACUUAUUAUGUCUGAAAAGCCUAAAAUAAAGUUUACAAAUUU